CCAUUAAAUAAAGGAUCGCAAGUUUGAUCAGAAAAGCCAGAAAUUUCUAUAAGUUGAAUUAAUUCUCCACGAAAGGAACUCCUUAACAUCCACAUUGACCAAUUUAGAGUCAAAAUCCUAAAUGAGUAUACACUCAACAUUGUAAAUUGCAAUUACAACACAUAUAUUAACUUGGAGCAAAUUCAUGCUUAAAAGGCAGUUAAAAUUUUAGGGAUAUAAAUAUGGUCCAUGUGCCCUACCUUCUCCGAGGUUUUAUUUUGGUACAUCAAGAUCAUCAUGUGAUCAAACUAGUCAUAUAGACGAGCCGUGAUUGGUUCGCGGCCUGUCACUAUCUACCGGUCCUUUCUCACCGAACAAUAGCUCGAGGCUCGCUGAUUGGACAACAAGUUGACUGAGUAAUUUAACAGCGUUGAACAGCCGAGUAGACCGGCUAAGAUCACAUAACUCUUUGAUGAAAUCGAAUUCAAUGGUCUAUUGAAUCGAAGGGCACUAGAAUUUAAUCGCUUUUAAAAUGGAGUACAAGAUCGCCAUUUUGUUAUACAUGUCCUUAAUUAGAUCCUGGUCACGCUUUUGUAAUUAGGUCAAAGUCAUUCAUGAAAUUGUUAAUUGGGAUAUGAAUCACCAAAAUAAUCCAUCGAAUAUACCAAAGGAAUGACUCAGUAGAAAAUCUACAUUAUUUUAUCGACAUUAUACCAAGUACAUCUUACUACAAGAUCCCAAUUAUGAACAAUGUCGUGCAGAAAUGAAUCAUGAGCGUGAACGAUUGAUAAAUCAAACCCCAAAAUGGAUCGUAACGAGUUAUAUUUCCCCAAUUAUGACAAGUUUAAUGUCAUUUAAAGACUACAAACGACAAAAGCUGUUAACAUUUCUUACUUGCAGUUGAUAACUCGGCAUAUGUGUUAAACCGACAUUUAAAUAGUAAAAAAAAUACUCCUAUAAUGCUAUUCGAAUUUGGACAGCAGGAGCAUAUAGUAUUAAAAAAAUUAGCACUUUGUUUAGGCCUAUCACUCUAACAACAAGUUGUUUAAAAAGUUGUUUAGAGUGACGGGCUUAAACAAUGAGCUAAAAAAAUUAUACAGCCUUUUUAGAGAAUACAUAGAGAAAUCAAUUUGAUUUUGAAAGAUAAUACGUCAAAUACGCCAUCAGAAAAAUUACAAUAUCCACAUAAUAUAUGGAAUGCCUUGACCACGAUGACUAAGUAUUCAUUUUACAUAACUGACAACUACAAUUAUUAUGAUAACCGUUAUGAUUCAUUAUUUUCUGAUAAUAUUCCAUCCAAACUGUCACAUUCACAUGAAUUCUAAUUAUAUUUACCAAUCCAAUAACAACUGGGAGAAACAACAUACAUUCCGUUUUAAAAUGAGGGUUCAUGUAAGUAAAAAAAUAAAUAAAGGGAUAUGAAGCACUUCAAAAUGAUCUUGUAUCACAGUUUGCUGCUAACAUAGGGGUUAAACAGAGCUGGAAUCAAUGGUAAUGGCAUGGAAACCUUCUGUGAGGAAACACUAGGCGAGAUGGGCACGUACUUAGAUAAAGAACUUACAGGGAUGGGUCGAGAUACAAUUGAUGUAAAACAAUGAUGAAAAUAAAAUAUUGUAAGGGGUACAAAGGAGAAAAGGGAUUAUAGAUAUAUGUGUUGGCUGAAAUGAAUACAUGUAAACAAAAUGUUUCAUGGCAACGAAAUGUUAUGAGGUAACAAUGGAGGGGAGAGGGCACUUUGUAUUAGUGGAUAAAAGAGAAUGUACACACCUGUGUUGGAGCAGACCAUGGGCAUUUCUUCGUCCUAUCUCAUGAAGGCAGCAACUCGUGAUGCAGCAGUGGUAUGCUCCUUCAGAUAUCACCUCGAAAGUGACGAUCAAUCCACAGCUCGUCUGUCUAUCAUAACUGACCAAAAACUGCUUUCAAGGUAAAUUUUUAAUUAUCACUGUUUUAGUCCAAAAUGUCGAUAUUUUUCUCGUUGCGUGCAUGGAGUUAUAUCAAAAUAUGAUUCUUUAUGAGUGUUCAAUUUCCUUUUUCAAAGAAAUAUGUUUGCGACCGAACCACUUUCUAUUCUAAUACAAAUCAAAUCAACAAGCAAUUCAUGAUCGAUUAAUUAUACUUUCUUGGAAAAAUAUUUAGAAAAUUGAAAAUCUAGUAAGGUUUGGGAGGAGGGGUCUCGUACAAUUAUGACAAGAGAGACAAGUUACAGAAAGUCAUACGUGAAAUUCUAGGAGGAAAGUCACAGACUAAAUAAUGUGUAUCGAACGAAAUACAAUUAUUCAUAACUGUGACGAAUGACAAUUGAAAAGAUUCUUGGAAGAAGGUGUAUCACAAAAUUUUUUAAUUGUUUGAAUAAUUUGAAAUGUUGACUGACGUUUACUAGACGGUGCUCUACCCAGGAAAAAAGUAACACCAUCCAACAGGAAAUUACUCGGAGUGAAAACUUCUCACAUUUUCACGAGAUGAAAAGUACAGAAUCACAAACAAUCAACCGGCAGCAAUAUCAGUUCUGACAUUUUUUCUCCCUUUUUAUAAAAAAAAAUAUUAGAUCUCUUGUAGCAGACCAAAGAUAGAAGAAGGGAAAUGACUAGCAUGACACGUGGGCAGUAAUAUGAGAAUUUCAGGUAUGACACUUUCGUAAUAGUUUUGAUUUCUAUGAUUCACUUUGAAUGUGAAGUAAACGAUUUUUUUAGAUUCGGAGAAUAGCAUAUGCAAUACAAUAGCUAUCUAAGGGUAAUUUGGAUUUCGUCUCCAUGCUAACGAUAUUCAUCGUAACAUUGAACAAAGGAUCGUACAAAAGUGCCAUUCGAAUUUGGAAGGGGUUGAUUUUCUGUGGUGGAUUUUGUUUAUAUCAUGAAUAUUGAUAAGUAUAACAAGAAAAAGGGAGGGUAAUUAAUAUGACAUUUGAAGACCGGCUGUUUUUUUUUUGUUUUAAAGCUUCAGGACAUGUGACAAAAUCUCCCCAUGACAUUAAAAAGUGCAAACCACAAUCAACCCCCAAAACAGCCAAAAAGUAAAGAAGUGUCGAGAAAAUUCUAAUUGAUGAAGGUUCUCUUUUAAGUUAUGAAUUCGAAACUGACUUUUACACGACCUGUUAUGCCUCUUUUUAUAUAUAAAUUUCAAAUAUGUUAUACAUCAAUUAAACGAUGGCUGCUAUUAUGCAUGAGUGUUACAAGUUGGUUCUCUGAAUUCAUACAGGGUGCCUGCAGAAUGGGAGCAAAGAAUUUACCAAAACCUUCGGACGAUUUGUUGGAUACACCAACAUCAAAGUGCUUUGAUCGAACCAUGAUCGUUUUGCGGUGACGAAAACACUUCGAGGGCAAACCUAUGCCAAAAUUCGGCAAUAUUACCAGCAAAAAUAAAAGAUGAAGUAGAAACUGUGUCUCAGCAACAUGUUUUUCAUGCGGAAGAGGACGGAUGAAGGAUUGGAGAUUCCAAUAACUCCACCAUCGUCGUCAUGUGUAUCCCUAGAACCACCACCAAUGAUGACAGAGUCGCCGGGAGGAACGAAUGAAGUCCAUUUAUAUCUGCAAGAUGGACCCCUUAACAUGUACUCUUGUUUAUAGGAACGUGUAAACGAUGGACCACGCUCGAAAUACAGACAAUGAAGAGGAGGAGAUGAAUGAUAACCUAACAUAUAUCAUCAUCUACAUAGAGGAGGAGGAACGGAGUAUUAACGAUUCAGACCAGCCUUCUGUCCGUGUAUCUAAGCCAAGAUCAGAAUGGCACCCAUCAACGAAAAAAAAAGUACUGACCAUAUUUUGGAAAAAGAAUCACAUAUUCAUUGUGACCAGAGCCAGAGCAAACGUCUCACAACGAUCCAGUCAAGUCUUCCGUCAAAGAAUACAUUUCGAUAAACAAUGGCACCAAUCAAUGAUCAAGCCCGCGAUGUCCAUGCUGAAGACAAUAUCAAGCAGAUAACAAACAAUUUGGUUAAUGGUGUUAUGCAGGAGGAAGGCGAGAUCCCACCAUCUCCAACACCAUCAGUUCUCGAGACGCCCCAGCUGAUCACCGUUACGCCGGGUCUAUACAAUUAACGACGACAGUCCAUUUCUCCCUGCAGGAUUUGCUCCUGAAAGAACGAGUACCCCUGUUCCAAGGAACCGAGCUUCGUUGGACGGAAUCAGGGCCAGGCUCUUUGCAGACGGUGACGAAGAGGAGCAGGAUAGAUCAGACAGCGUCAUACUGAUAGAAGCGAAGUACAGUGGAGACGACGACGACGAUGAAGCACCGAUGCAGGAGGCAAGGGAACCACCUUCGGCGAAUGGGUUCGUCCAUUUAACAGUUGAUAUUCUAAUUUUAAUGCGUGUUGCACUAACCAGGAGAAUACACACCCUUGCUCAAGAAAGUUGCGA
rnacentral:lncRNA from 1 species